rnacentral:tRNA from 1 species
GGGCCCGUAGCUCAGCCAGGUAGAGCGCCGGGCUCUUAACCCGGAGGUCGCGGGUUCGAAUCCCGCCGGGCCCGCCA